rnacentral:lncRNA from 1 species
CAGGGCAGGAGGAACCUCGCCCGGUCUAGUAGGGAAGGCUUCCUGGAGUAGGUGAGGAAGUAUGCUCCGGAGGACAGAGGAAACGGCAGGAGCAAGAAUCAGGAGAUGACAACUGGAAUAGCAAAAUCCCUGGGUUUUUGAACUCUACAGGGACAGCCACAUUCAUCCCGGCUGUGGACUGAACUGUGUCCCCUUCAGAUGUCAUAUGUUGAAGCCCUUGCCCCCACUGUGACUGCAUUUGGAGACUGGGCCUAUCAGGAGAUAAGAGAUCACGUGGAGACACAGCAAGAAGGCAGCUGUCUGCAGCCAGGAAGACAGCCCUCAGCAGAACCUGCACCUGCCAGCACCAUGAUCUUGGACUCCCAGUCUCCAGAACUAUGAGAAAGUAAGUGUCUGUUUUUGAAGCCACCCAGUCUAUGGCAGCCUGAGCAGACUGACAUCCUCACACCACCACCCAGAAGGAGCAGCUAUUUGUAUCCCCAGUUUACAGAUGGGGAAACCAAGGCCCAGAGAUAAUACAUGACUUGCCUGUGAUCCCACAGCUGUAAGUCAGAGUUAAGACUGGAGCCCAGGCC